UAGGGAAUCUUCGGCAAUGGACGGAAGUCUGACCGAGCAACGCCGCGUGAGUGAAGAAGGUUUUCGGAUCGUAAAGCUCUGUUGUAAGAGAAGAACGAGUGUGAGAGUGGAAAGUUCACACUGUGACGGUAUCUUACCAGAAAGGGACGGCUAACUACGUGCCAGCAGCCGCGGUAAUACGUAGGUCCCGAGCGUUGUCCGGAUUUAUUGGGCGUAAAGCGAGCGCAGGCGGUUAGAUAAGUCUGAAGUUAAAGGCUGUGGCUUAACCAUAGUACGCUUUGGAAACUGUUUAACUUGAGUGCAAGAGGGGAGAGUGGAAUUCCACGUGUAGCGGUGAAAUGCGUAGAUAUAUGGAGGAACACCGGUGGCGAAAGCGGCUCUCUGGCUUGUAACUGACGCUGAGGCUCGAAAGCGUGGGGAGCAAACAGGAUUAGAUACCCUGGUAGUCCACGCCGUAAACGAUGAGUGCUAGGUGUUAGACCCUUUCCGGGGUUUAGUGNCGCAGCUAACGCAUUAAGCACUCCGCCUGGGGAGUACNACCGCAAGGNUG
rnacentral:rRNA from 1 species